rnacentral:lncRNA from 1 species
AGCAAGGAAGGGUUGUCUGUGUGACUCCAACCUGGCUGUCCCCAGUCCCUGCUCCUCCGCUCAAGGAACACCUAGGCUCAGGCCCACAGGCGCCUCUGAGCUGCCAGUAGGAUUCUGCUUUGGAUGAGAAUGGAGAGGAGGCCAAGGAUAUGCAUUGAGGACUCUUCAUCUAAUAGCCCUGACCCACGCAGAACCUGCUCCCAAGAAUCAAGCUCAGGCUUUUUGGCCACUCAGGUUCCAAGAAAAGCAGCCUUAUGGACUCUCUCAAGUGUGGGCUGCUGAGGAGCUUUCUCAAAAGCCUUUGGAGACAAGCUGAAGAACCCACUCCAAGUUGUCCUGCUGGCUUCCAUGCGGACAUCAUGAAUGUUCCUGAACCAGCUGGAGGCGAGUUUGGAUAUGACAGAGAUACAUCAUUGCUGAAAGAGAUCAGGAGUAGGUGAGGGUCAGGUGCUGGGUCUCCAACCCAGGGGCAGGCUCUUAUCCCAGGGAACUGAAUCAGGGCUGUGGAAACCACAACAGGAACAACUUGAACCAGGAAAAGAAUUAAAGGCCUUUCUUGCUUGCUUAACUUUUUUGUUGUACUUUUCAUUUUUAUCAAAUCAAUGAAUUCACAUAACAACGAGUUAAAUGAGUGAAGAGCAUGUGAUGAAAAGCAGCUGUCCUCCCUCUUCUUUCUCACCUCCCAGCACCAUGGCUUGGUGGUGACUUCUUUCAUUAUUUUAGCUUUCACUGCUUUUCAUGAUUAUUGUGAUAACACUAAUCAGUAUUUCUCAAAAUAUAAGUUGCAACCCACUACUGGAUCAUUAAUUUCAUUUAGGAGGGCAUGUCCAGCUCUUUUAAAAAUUUUAAUUGAUACAUAAUAUUUAUAGAUAUUUACGCGAUACGAAGUGAUAUAUCAAAACAUGUAUACAUAGUGUGUUAAUCAGUUCAGGGUAAUUAGCAUACCAUCACCUGAAACAUUUAUCAUUUCUUUGUAGUGAUAACAUGUAAACGCCUCUCUUUCAGUUAUUUUGGAAUAUACAUUAUUGAAAACUAUAGCCACUCUGCUGUACAAUAGGCCACCAGAGCUCAUUCCUGCUAUCUAAUCAUACUUUUGUACCUGUUAACCACUCCCUCCCCAGUCUCUGGCAACCACUGUUUUAUUUUCUACUUCUAUGAGAUCAACCUUUUAGAUUCCACAUAUAAGUAAGAUCGUGUGAUAUUUGUCUUUCUGUGUCCGGCUUAUUUCAUUUAGUAUAAUGUCUUCCAGGGUCACUUAUGUUGUUGGAAAUUAAAGGGUUUCAUUGUUUUUAGUGGCUGAAUAGGAUUCCAUUCUGUGUAUAUACCACAUUUGUAACAGUCUAUGUAUGCAUUGAUAGACACUUAGAUUGAUUUCAUUUCUUGGCUAUUGUGAAUAGUACUACAAUAAUCAUGGGAGCGCAAAUAUUUCUUCAGCACACUGAUUUAAUUUUAUCUGAAUAUACACCCAAUAGUGGGAUUGCUAUAUCUAGUAUUUCUGUUUGUAAGAAGGAAGGAAGGAAGGAAGGGAGGAAGGAAAGAAGGAGAGAGAGAAAGAAAGAAAGAAAAGAAAGAAAGAAAGAAAAAAGAGAGAAAGGAAAGAAAGAAAGAAAGAAAGAAAGAAAGAAAGAAAGAAAGAAAGAAAGAAAGAAAGAAAAAGCUCCAGGUAUUAGAGCUACCUGACAAAAAUUCAUGCUGAGCCUAAACUUCCUAGAGACAGUAGAACUGAAACUGAUAUAUCUGCAAAAAUGCCAGGGCUGAAUGAGUGACACAGGCAUGUUACAGCAAAAGGCCAAAGCCAUUUGUUAAUUUGUCCACAGUUAAGAAACUGACAGACUUAAACUACCAUAUAAAAUGUUACACGUAAAUUCUAUAACAAUACUGUGCUAGGUACAAGAUUUUUACAUUUUUUCUUUUAAUAAAAAAGCUUUACACGAACAAGCCAUUAGCUUAUUUUAAGAAAGAAAACAAA